AUUGAACGCUGGCGGCAGGCCUAACACAUGCAAGUCGAGCGAGCGGCGGACGGGUGAGUAAUGUAUGGGGAUCUGCCCGAUCGAGGGGGAUAACUACUGGAAACGGUGGCUAAUACCGCAUACUAUCCGAUGAACUCUCAGGGGAUUAGCUAGUAGGUGGGGUAAAGGCUCACCAAGGCGACGAUCCCUAGCUGGUCUGAGAGGGUGAUCGGCCACACUGGGACUGAGACACGGCCCAGACUCCUACGGGAGGCAGCAGUAGGGAAUAUUGCGCAAUGGGCGAAAGCCUGAUGCAGCCAUGCCGCGUGUGUGAAGAAGGCCUUAGGGUUGUAAAGUACUUUCAGCAGGGAGGCGUUACCCAAAGAAAAAGCACCGGCUAACUCCGUGCCAGCAGCCGCGGUAAUAC
rnacentral:rRNA from 1 species